rnacentral:lncRNA from 1 species
AGCACCGCUGACCAACUUCCAUCUCCGGUCAGAGGGUCUCUGACCCCGGUGGGCAGGGCCCCUCAGGGCCUUCCCCCCUUAUCCUCCGUUUGUGGAGCCCUCCUGAGGGUGCAGUUUGUCAUCAACUGCUUAAGGAGGCUGAUUUCUGCCAGCACCACUGACCAACAUCCAUCUCUGGUCAGAGGGUCUCUGACCCUGGUGGGCAGCGCCCCUCAGGACCUUUACCCCCUUAACCCGUGCGGUCUGCGGAGUCCUUCUGAGGGUGCAGUUUUAUCAUCCUCUAUUUAA